AACGAACGCUGGCGGCAUGCCUAACACAUGCAAGUCGAACGAGACCUUCGGGUCUAGUGGCGCACGGGUGCGUAACGCGUGGGAACCUGCCCUUAGGUUCGGAAUAACUCCCCGAAAGGGGUGCUAAUACCGGAUAAUGUCUUCGGACCAAAGAUUUAUCGCCUUUGGAUGGGCCCGCGUUGGAUUAGCUGGUUGGUAGGGUAAAAGCCUACCAAGGCGACGAUCCAUAGCUGGUCUGAGAGGAUGAUCAGCCACACUGGGACUGAGACACGGCCCGGACUCUUACGGGAGGCAGCAGUGGGGAAUAUUGGACAAUGGGCGGAAGCAUGAUCCAGCAAUGACGCGUGAGUGAUGAAGGCCUUAGGGUUGUAAAGCUCUUUUACCCGGGAUGAUAAUGACAGUACCGGGAGAAUAAGCUCCGGCUAACUCCGUG
rnacentral:rRNA from 1 species